rnacentral:rRNA from 1 species
CAGUCGCCGCGGGAAUACAGAGGGUGCGAGCGUUAAUCGGAUUUACUGGGCGUAAAGCGUGCGUAGGCGGCUUCUUAAGUCGGAUGUGAAAUCCCUGAGCUUAACUUAGGAAUUGCAUUUGAUACUGGGAAGCUAGAGUAUGGGAGAGGAUGGUAGAAUUCCAGGUGUAGCGGUGAAAUGCGUAGAGAUCUGGAGGAAUACCGAUGGCGAAGGCAGCCAUCUGGCCUAAUACUGACGCUGAGGUACGAAAGCAUGGGGAGCAAACAGGAUUAGAUACCCGGGUAGUCCCUGUCUCUUAUAC